AGGAAUGUGAAGGACUCCUAUUACUAAAUAUCUGGCCUUUCUUUGGGCAAGAGCACUCAACACUCUUCUUUACUUAGCUCCGACACACCUAAUUGUUGUUUUCCCCUAAUUGGAGCCGCCACUUCAUCUUCUUCCUCUUGUGGGUAUCUUGCAGGCUUCAUCCUUAUGUGUCAAUGGAAACAACAACUCUAUCUAUCAUCUUUGUCUCUAGUUGUCGGGGGAUUUUAUCCCCAUAGGACCGAUGUCUAAAGGUGUUGCUACCCUGAUUUGUACCAAUAUAUGUUGGUCUAACUGGACACGCACUUCGAGUGCUAACACAAAUUUGGUGUAUUGCAGUGGAAAGCUCCCUCUACCCUUUUUUUGGUAAAUUAUUUUUGAUAGCUAGGGUAACUAGAUAGAUGUAGCACAAAUGUUUGUCCUUUUCUCGAUAAAAACUUAUAUAUUUGUGUUUGUUAUCUUCUCGCACCCCCUUGGGAUUGUAACUAUUGGGACCUUUGUGCUGAUCAUUAAGUACUAUAGCUGCUCCUUUUCCAUAUUUA